rnacentral:rRNA from 1 species
AUACGGAGGAUGCAAGCGUUAUCCGGAUUUAUUGGGUUUAAAGGGUGCGUAGGCGGUUUGCUAAGCGGGAGGUGAAAUGCCGGCGCUCAACGUCGGAAGUGCCUCCCGAACUGGUGGACUGGAAUGACUCUGCCGUGGGAGGAAUGUGUAGUGUAGCGGUGAAAUGCUUAGAGAUUACACAGAACACCGAUUGCGAAGGCAUCUCACGAAGGGUUGAUUGACGCUGAGGCACGAAAGCGUGGGGAUCAAACAGGAUUAGAUUCCCUGGUAGUCCACGCAGUAAACGAUGAUGGCUAACCGCUGGUUUAUUCGGAUCAGUGGCCAAGCGAAAGCGAUAAGCCAUCCACCUGGGGAGUACGACCGCAAGGUUGAAACUUAAAGGAAUUGACGGGG